rnacentral:rRNA from 1 species
UACGGAAGGCAGCAGUGGGGAAUAUUGCACAAUGGGCGCAAGCCUGAUGCAGCCAUGCCGCGUGUAUGAAGAAGGCCUUCGGGUUGUAAAGUACUUUCAGUCGUGAGGAAGGUGUUAAGGUUAAUAACCUUAGCAAUUGACGUUAGCGACAGAAGAAGCACCGGCUAACUCCGUGCCAGCAGCCGCGGUAAUACGGAGGGUGCGAGCGUUAAUCGGAAUUACUGGGCGUAAAGGGCACGCAGGCGGUUAAUUAAGUUGGAUGUGAAAUCCCCGGGCUUAACCUGGGAAUGGCAUUCAAGACUGGUUAGCUAGAGUCUUGUAGAGGGGGUAGAAUUCCAUGUGUAGCGGUGAAAUGCGUAGAGAUGUGGAGGAAAUACCGGUGGCGAAGGCGGCCCCGUGGACAAAGACUGACGCUCAUGUGCGAAAGCGUGGGGAGCAAACAGGGAUUAGAUACC